UCCAGGGUAGCCUAGUGGACAUGGCAUCUAUCUGCCCGGUAAGCGGAACAUUGUGGGUUCGAUUCCCAUCCCUGGAC